GAUGAACGCUGGCGGCGUGCCUAAUACAUGCAAGUCGAGCGAACAGACGAGGAGCUUGCUCCUCUGACGUUAGCGGCGGACGGGUGAGUAACACGUGGAUAACCUACCUAUAAGACUGGGAUAACUUCGGGAAACCGGAGCUAAUACCGGAUAAUAUAUUGGACCGCAUGGUUCAAUAGUGAAAGACGGUUUUGCUGUCACUUAUAGAUGGAUCCGCGCCGCAUUAGCUAGUUGGUAAGGUAACGGCUUACCAAGGCAACGAUGCGUAGCCGACCUGAGAGGGAGAUCGGCCACACUGUAACUGAGACACGGUCCAGACUCCUACGGGAGGCAGCAGUAGGGAAUCUUCCGCAAUGGGCGAAAGCCUGACGGAGCAACGCCGCGUGAGUGAUGAAGGUCUUCGGAUCGUAAAACUCUGUUAUUAGGGAAGAACAAAUGUGUAAGUAACUAUGCACGUCUUGACGGUACCUAAUCAGAAAGCCACGGCUAACUACGUGCCAGCCGCCGCCGUAAUAC
rnacentral:rRNA from 1 species